AGCGAACGCUGGCGGCAGGCCUAACACAUGCAAGUCGAACGAACUCUUCGGAGUUAGUGGCGGACGGGUGCGUAACACGUGGGAACGUGCCUUUUGGUUCGGAAUAACUCAGGGAAACUUGUGCUAAUACCGAAUGUGCCCUUCGGGGGAAAGAUUUAUCGCCAUUAGAUGGGCCCGCGUCUGAUUAGCUAGUUGGUGAGGUAACGGCUCACCAAGGCGACGAUCAGUAGCUGGUCUGAGAGGAUGACCAGCCACACUGGGACUGAGACACGGCCCAGACUCCUACGGGAGGCAGCAGUGGGGAAUCUUGCGCAAUGGGCGAAAGCCUGACGCAGCAAUGCCGCGUGAAUGAUGAAGGUCUUAGGAUUGUAAAAUUCUUUCACCGGGGACGAUAAUGACGGUACCCGGAGAAGAAGCCCCGGCUAACUUCGUG
rnacentral:rRNA from 1 species